rnacentral:rRNA from 1 species
GCAGUCGAGCGCCCCGCAAGGGGAGCGGCAGACGGGUGAGUAACGCGUGGGAACGUACCUUUUGCUACGGAAUAACUCAGGGAAACUUGUGCUAAUACCGUAUGUGCCCUUCGGGGGAAAGAUUUAUCGGCAAAGGAUCGGCCCGCGUUGGAUUAGCUAGUUGGUGAGGUAAAGGCUCACCAAGGCGACGAUCCAUAGCUGGUCUGAGAGGAUGAUCAGCCACACUGGGACUGAGACACGGCCCAGACUCCUACGGGAGGCAGCAGUGGGGAAUAUUGGACAAUGGGCGCAAGCCUGAUCCAGCCAUGCCGCGUGAGUGAUGAAGGCCCUAGGGUUGUAAAGCUCUUUCACCGGUGAAGAUAAUGACGGUAACCGGAGAAGAAGCCCCGGCUAACUUCGUGCCAGCAGCCGCGGUAAUACGAAGGGGGCUAGCGUUGUUCGGAUUUACUGGGCGUAAAGCGCACGUAGGCGGACUUUUAAGUCAGGGGUGAAAUCCCGGGGCUCAACC